rnacentral:rRNA from 1 species
AUUGAACGCUGGCGGCAUGCUUUACACAUGCAAGUCGAACGGUAACAGGCCGCAAGGUGCUGACGAGUGGCGAACGGGUGAGUAAUGCAUCAGAACGUGCCCAGUCGUGGGGGAUAACGCAGCGAAAGCUGCGCUAAUACCGCAUACGAUCUAUGGAUGAAAGCGGGGGACCGUAAGGCCUCGCGCGAUUGGAGCGGCCGAUGUCAGAUUAGGUAGUUGGUGAGGUAAAGGCUCACCAAGCCAACGAUCUGUAGCUGGUCUGAGUGGACGACCAGCCACACUGGGACUGAGACACGGCCCAGACUCCUACGGGAGGCAGCAGUGGGGAAUUUUGGACAAUGGGCGCAAGCCUGAUCCAGCAAUGCCGCGUGCAGGAAGAAGGCCUUCGGGCUGUAAACUGCUUUUGUACGGAACGAAACGGCUCUCACUAAUACUGGGGGCUAAUGACGGUACCGUAAGAAUAAGCACCGGCUAACUACGUGCCAGCCGCCGCCGUAAUAC